rnacentral:rRNA from 1 species
AGUGGCGACCGGGUGAGUAACACGUGACUAACCUACCUCCGAGUGGGGAAUAACUCCGGGAAACCGGGGCUAAUACCGCAUAACAUCGCGAGAUCAAAGCAGCAAUGCGCUUGGAGAGGGGGUCGCGGCUGAUUAGCUAGUUGGCGGGGUAACGGCCCACCAAGGCGAAGAUCGGUAUCCGGCCUGAGAGGGCGCACGGACACACUGGAACUGAAACACGGUCCAGACUCCUACGGGAGGCAGCAGUGGGGAAUUUUGUGCAAUGGGGGAAACCCUGACGCAGCAACGCCGCGUGGAGGAUGAAGCCCUUUGGGGCGUAAACUCCUUUCGACCAAGACGAUAAUGACGGUACUGGCGGAAGAAGCACCGGCUAACUCUGUGCCAGCAGCCGCGGUAAUACAGAGGGUGCGAGCGUUGUUCGGAAUUAUUGGGCGUAAAGGGCGCGUAGGCGGUGCCACAAGUCACUUGUGAAAUCUCCGGGCUUAACUCGGAGUCUGCAGGCGA